rnacentral:piRNA from 1 species
UAGAGGCAAGUAUAAAGUUGC